UAAGGAAAAAGCUUAUUUUUUGCAUUAGGAAGAGAUAAAAGCUUAAUAUUACCCCCUCCUCCCGCCCCCCAGUGAGCCAGGUGACCCCCAGAACAGCGCAAUCCUGCCUACUUGUGGUGUGGGAGCCCUGAUCGUCCCCUUUCCUCCCUCCUCCUCCUCCUCCUCCUCUUCCCCCUCCAGCAUAGAAGAGACGUUUAAUAAGCUGGUGGACAGCGCUUCCUCCGCCCCCCUGUCAGAUAUGGAGGGGUUGGGGAAAGGAUGCCGUGUCCCUGAGUCUGCCCCUGACUGGCCAGCUGACGCCCAUUGAUAUCUUCAUGGCCGUGGUGAGGCAGGAGAGGACUCAAGGAUGGAGAGCUUAGAAUACCACACAGAGGAUGGUGAAGGAGCCUUGGGGAAGCCUGAAGGAGGGGCAGUGAAGGAGGGAGGCCUGGAGGUGAAGGAAAUGCAGAAAAUUCCUCUAAUAGUGAGCGCUUCGCUGGUCAGACCAUCCCUUACUGAAUAUUUGGACCGAGGCUUCGAGAUACGAGAUGAGAAUCCGUUUUUUAGUAGUUUAAGACAGUUUUAUGUGUUUUUGGGUGUUUGUAUAUUGUUUUUAUCUUGUUUUGAGUAUUUUUUUGUUUGUGAAAGGAGGGAGAAAGUUUAAAUACAGUAAUAAUACCGAAAAAAAGGCUUAAAUUGAGAGUUUUAAAGUUAUCUUAGCGUAUAUUAAGCUGUUUUAAAUGUUUUAAGUUACCAGAAGAGAGGAAGCUUAAAUUUAAUAUUAGGAUAAGGAAAAAGCUUAUUUCUUGCAUUAGGAAGAAAGAAAAGCUUAAUGUUGCCACCUCAUCCCCCCAGCCCCCAGUGAGCCAGGUGACCCCCUAGAACAACGCCAUCCUGCCUAUUUGUGGUGUGGCAGCCCAGAUCGUCCCCCUCCCUCCCUCAUCCUCCUCCUCCUCUAGCAAAGAAGAGACGUUUAAUCAGCUAGUGGACAGGUUGUUGUUGUUGUUGUUAUUGUUGUUGUGGGGGUAGCGGUGGUAGUAGUGGCGGCGGUGGUUGUUCGUCUC